GAUAUAUUAAAAAUGGUGGACGUCCAGGACGAAUCAUUGCGGAUCAUGGCGUGGCAGCGGUUAAGCUUUUUUGGCUGAGUUGUCCCAAUUCUGUAUGUCUUUAUUCUGUGUGUAUUGUGCACGAAACACAAGGAUGUACAAUCGAAAGGUCUAACCAAGGUAAAAGGCAGUAGUCUCUGCAAAUGGAGUAGGGAACGACGCAAGUAUUGACUAUGUGACUUCCAUAUGAGAUCUGGACAAUACAAACAAAUCAAAGACACGUUGCAUCUCGUCAUGCCUGUAGAAAGUAGGAAGUUAUGGAGCGACGCUACCUCCAAAGUCUAAAGGGCCAACUCCAAACCAAAAUAUACACUUGAAUAACUUGUGUAAUUCAAAACGUAUGAGUUGAAAUAUGAAUUGUGGAGUUACUGGCAAACUCCAAAAAUCGUUUGGAGCUAGGUAUAACUCCAAAUUCGGCAGCUAAGCAUCAUUUAGGUGCUAAGCAUCUAAGCCUGGAGUUACUGGCUAACUCCAAAAAUCAUUUGGAGCUAAGAAUAACUCCAAAAAUCAUGAAAAAA